rnacentral:rRNA from 1 species
UGGGGAAUUUUGGACAAUGGGCGCAAGCCUGAUCCAGCCAUGCCGCGUGCAGGAAGAAGGCCUUCGGGUUGUAAACUGCUUUUGUCAGGGAAGAAAUCCUUUGGGUUAAUACCUCGAAGGGAUGACGGUACCUGAAGAAUAAGCACCGGCUAACUACGUGCCAGCAGCCGCGGUAAUACGUAGGGUGCGAGCGUUAAUCGGAAUUACUGGGCGUAAAGCGUGCGCAGGCGGCUUUGCAAGACAGAUGUGAAAUCCCCGGGCUCAACCUGGGAACUGCAUUUGUGACUGCAAGGCUAGAGUGCGGCAGAGGGAGAUGGAAUUCCGCGUGUAGCAGUGAAAUGCGUAGAUAUGCGGAGGAACACCGAUGGCGAAGGCAAUCUCCUGGGCCUGCACUGACGCUCAUGCACG